UACGUAGGGUGCAAGCGUUGUCCGGAAUUAUUGGGCGUAAAGAGCUCGUAGGUGGCCUGUCGCGUCGGCUGUGAAAACUCGGGGCUCAACUCCGAGCUUGCAGUCGAUACGGGCAGGCUAGAGUUCGGCAGGGGAGACUGGAAUUCCUGGUGUAGCGGUGAAAUGCGCAGAUAUCAGGAGGAACACCGGUGGCGAAGGCGGGUCUCUGGGCCGAUACUGACGCUGAGGAGCGAAAGCGUGGGGAUCAAACAGG
rnacentral:rRNA from 1 species